UCAGAAGAAGUUUAUUUAUUCACCGGAUUAGGCUAGAGAAGACUAAGUAAAAGAAAGAAUUGGGGUUUGAGUGACAGAGGCUGAGGGAGCCAAAGCUGGAAGAGAAGUAAGAGCUUGAGGGCAACAAGCCAGGAGCAGGAAAUUAAACAAUAAUCAGGAAGGAAAGGAGCCCAGGUCUAUAGCAAGGGAGUUUGUGCCAUAGCUGGGAGAGAGGACCGGCUUAGGAGACUGAUAUGUUAAAUGGGGCUUAGCGAAGAGAUGCAAGAAGGACCGGAGGAGGGCUCGUAAACUGCAGUGAACUGUUUGCAAAGUUGUUUCAACAGGAGGAAAAGUAGUUAUGAAGAAUGGUCCUUCCUUCCUCAGAACUUGGCUGAGGAGUUGUUUAUGGAUUGAACAUGUAUUGUGUAUAAGCCUGUAAUGUGAUCCUGGGUGGAAUUACGCCAAUGGAGGGCAGCUGGAGCCCUUUGAAGGGGUCUAAAGGCAACUAGGCUGAAGAAGAGGACAGGUAGCUCCGAAAAGCUGGCCAGCACAGAGCAAUAUGGAAGAAGCAGUGCAGUCAAAAGAAUGUUACCCUUGAGGGCAAAGGACCUGGGUCUUAAUCCUACUUCUGCCACCUUUUACCUGUUUGAAAUUCAACCCUGUAGAAGAUAGACUGGGACAAUAGAUAUUAAGCAACCUCUAAUGGGCCCCACAAAUGUUCAAACAGCAAUUUUGAACAUGCCAAAUGAUGCGGGUGUUUCUGAGGUUGCCACAUUAGAGUAUAACAACAUCUCAUUUGCACUCUAACAUCAUCCCUAGUUCCCAUUCAGAUGUGGCUGCCUCAAACUGGAAACUCCACCCCCUCCACUGAAGCAACUCACCCCGCACUCAGAUCCUCCAGUUGGUUCUGCAAUUGCCUCCGUUUCCUGGGAUUCUUCUAAACUGGGGAAUACCCUCCCUGCAGCCACGCCAGUCCAGAUCCACACCCUGAGCCAGAAAGGUCCUUUACCUGACAGCACAGUGAAGACAGCAGCAAAGGCGUUGAGCUUGAGCCCAUCUAUGACGUUACUGGAGUGG